AAAAAGGAAAAAUCUUAAAAAAAAAUUGUCUAAUUGAGAGUUAAUUUUCUAAUACUUCAGCAGCUGCCGGAAUGUGAGAUCCCAGGCCUUGAGGUGUUGCGUUUCAUGCAAAUCUGGAAAUGGCGGGAAGACUGAGCAGCUCUGGUUGGCCAACUGUGUAGAGGUGGAGUGUUUUGGACCUAUCUAAGAGUUUGCAAUCCUUCUCAAAAGACACGAGCAGUGAGUUGGAGCCACAGCACUUUUAUGACUUGUUUACUCAGGACUGUGAUGCUUAAGUUUAAAUCAGAAGCUGGAAGCUAAGAACUGCUAAAUGCUGACUUCCAAGAUGGCCCCCAUUGACUCCUACCUCCUGGUAUUCAGGGUCCGUGUAAUCCCCUCCCCUGGAAUGACUUGCUUCUAACAAAUAAAAUGCUGUAAAAUUGAUGAGUACUGCUUUCGUGAUUAGGUUUCAAAGACUAUGACUUUCAGACAGGCAGACUCUCUCCGUUGCCUUCUCAUCUUGCCUGCUUUGCUGAAGCAAGCUGCCAAACUGGAGAGGCCUAAAGUGGCAAGAAACUGAAUGUGGUCUCUGGCCAACUGCCAGAGGGGAACUGAGGCCCUCAGUCCAACAAGCUGUGAGGAACUGAAUCCAGCCAACAACCACGUGAACUUGGAGUGGAUCCUUCUCUAGUCAAGUCUUGAGAUAAACACAUCCCAGUCAAGAUGCUGAUGACAGCCUAUGGGAAAACCUAAAGCAGAGGACCCAGCUAAGCCACGCCCAGAUCCCUAACCCACACAAACUGUGAGAUGAUAAAUGUGUACUGUUUUAAGCUGCUGAGGUUUGAGGAAAUUUAUUAUGCAGCAAUAGAUAGUAGAUAACUAAUACAGUCUGUUACUAUACUUUGAAACUGUUCUGAUCACUCUUGGUAAAAAAAAAAAGGAAAUAUCUGAUAAACUUAUUCAUACUACAGCAUUUGGGAACUCAAGAUGUGACCCCUGUUGGAAUAAUGUCCUCAGAGGGAAGGUAAUGCCAACACCAUAGAGUGCAUGAAUAAUGGCAGAAUUUUAGGAUUUGGGGCGAAUAAUGG
rnacentral:lncRNA from 1 species